rnacentral:rRNA from 1 species
UACGGAGGGUGAGAGCGUUGUUCGGAAUCAUUGGGCGUAAAGGGCGUGUAGGUGGUCUGUUACGUCAUGUGUGAAAGCCCUCAGCUUAACUGGGGAAGUGCGCAUGAAACUGACAGGCUAGAGUACCGAAGAGGAAGGUGGAAUUCCAGGUGUAGCGGUGAAAUGCGUAGAUAUCUGGAGGAACACCGGUGGCGAAGGCGGCAUCCUGGACCAUAACUGACACUGAUAAGCGAAAGCCAGGGGAGCAAACGGG